CACGUAGGGCGCAAGCGUUGUCCGGAAUUAUUGGGCGUAAAGAGCUCGUAGGCGGACUGUCACGUCUGCUGUGAAAAGCUGGGGCUUAACCCCUGGCUUGCAGUGGAUACGGACAGACUAGAGGUAGGUAGGGGAGAAUGGAAUUCCCGGUGUAGCGGUGAAAUGCGCAGAUAUCGGGAGGAACACCGGUGGCGAAGGCGGUUCUCUGGGCCUUACCUGACGCUGAGGAGCGAAAGCGUGGGGAGCGAACAGG
rnacentral:rRNA from 1 species